GUUGCUUUUCCUUGUUGUCCUUCUUUCGGCGAUAACCGCCGGAGCAACACUCCGGUUCCUCAACUGUCAUCAGGAUCAUCAUCAUCAUCAUCAUAAUGCAACUACCGGCAAGAAAACCCACCCGCCGGGUCAUAGAGUAUAUCCGGUUCCACCUUCAGGUCCAUCAAGAAGACAUAACUUGCCAAGGAGAGCUCAAUUUUCCUAUGAAAAAGCUCAACUUUCCUAUGAAAAACCGUCCGGGCCUAAUCGCCGUCAUUGCCGCGAGAACUAAUACCAAGGUGAAACAAAGCUGCUUAAGAAUAUUCAUGUAGUAUCUUCUACACAUACAUAUAUAUGUGUUCAUAGUAAAAUGAAGGAAUGAACAUAGUGUGUUUUCGCACACUGUUCAUUCUUCAUUUUCUCCUUUUCACUUCAAGACCUUGUAAAAUAUCAAAAUCAUUAUGUGAAAAAAAACAUGUGAUGGGUUGUGGAC
rnacentral:sRNA from 1 species